rfam:Gossypium arboreum cultivar AKA8401 contig_11393_1, whole genome shotgun sequence.
UGUUAAAAAUCUCAUCUAUUUGUAUAGUUAAAAAUUGGAGUGAUUGAUGGAAUAACAAGACAAUAAUAUGUGAUGUGCCGUGUGUAUCUCAUACUAACGUAUAGGAACCAAUUUUCAACAACAGAAAUUAAUGAAAUUUUUAACA